rnacentral:rRNA from 1 species
UGCAGUCGUACGAGAAUCUUUGAUUCAAGUGGCGGACGGGUGAGUAACACGUAAGAAUUUGCCUUUAGGAGGGGGACAACAACUGGAAACGGUUGCUAAUACCCCAUAUGCUUAAUACUUGGUAGUGAAAAGUGAAACGGAGUUUUCCGCCUAGAGAGAAGCUUGCGGCUGAUUAGCUUGUUGGUGAGGUAAUGGCUUACCAAGGCGACGAUCAGUAUCUGGUUUGAGAGGACGAUCAGACACACUGGAACUGAGACACGGUCCAGACUCCUACGGGAGGCAGCAGUGGGGAAUUUUCCGCAAUGGGCGAAAGCCUGACGGAGCAAUCUCGCGUGAGGGAUGACUGCCUAUGGGUUGUAAACCUCUUUUUUCAGGGAGGAAGAAAAUGACGUGUACCUGAAGAAUAAGCAUCGGCUAACUCCGUGCCAGCAGCCGCGGUAAGACGGAGGAUGCAAGUGUUAUCCGGAAUCACUGGGCGUAAAGCGUCUGUAGGUGGUUUAAUAAGUCAACUGUUAAAUCUUGAAGCUCAACUUCAAAAUCGCAGUCGAAACUAUUAGACUAGAGUAUAGUAGGGGUAAAGGGAAUUUCCGGUGGAGCGGUGAAAUGCGUAGAGAUUGGAAAGAACACCGAUGGCGAAGGCACUUUACUGGGCUAUUACUGACACUCAGAGACGAAAGCUAGGGUAGCAAAUGGGAUUAGAUACCCCAGUAGUCCUAGCCGUAAACAAUGGAUACUAGAUGUUGAACAGAUCGACCUGUGCAGUAUUAAAGCUA